rnacentral:rRNA from 1 species
CAGUAGCCGCGGGAAUACGUAGGGUGCAAGCGUUAAUCGGAAUUACUGGGCGUAAAGCGCACGCAGGCGGUCUGUCAAGUCAGAUGUGAAAUCCCCGGGCUUAACCUGGGAACUGCAUUUGAAACUGGCAGGCUAGAGUCUUGUAGAGGGGGGUAGAAUUCCAGGUGUAGCGGUGAAAUGCGUAGAGAUCUGGAGGAAUACCGGUGGCGAAGGCGGCCCCCUGGACAAAGACUGACGCUCAGGUGCGAAAGCGUGGGGAGCAAACAGGAUUAGAUACCCGCGUAGUCCCUGUCUCUUAUAC